rnacentral:rRNA from 1 species
UACGUAGGGUGCAAGCGUUGUCCGGAAUUAUUGGGCGUAAAGAGCUCGUAGGCGGUCUGUCGCGUCUGCUGUGAAAACUCAGGGCUUAACCCUGAGCUUGCAGUGGGUACGGGCAGACUAGAGUGCGGUAGGGGAGACUGGAAUUCCUGGUGUAGCGGUGAAAUGCGCAGAUAUCAGGAGGAACACCGGUGGCGAAGGCGGGUCUCUGGGCCGAGAUUGACGCUGAGGAGCGAAAGCGUGGGGAGCGAACAGG